rnacentral:rRNA from 1 species
CGCGAAUGGCUCAUUACAACAGCCAAAUUUUACUGGAAUAUAGUUAUCUUACUUGGAUAACCGUGGCAAUUCUAGAGCUAAUACAUGCAAAAAAGCUCUGACCGCAAGGAACGAGCGCAUUUAUUAGAAUAAAAACCAAUCGGGUUUCGGCCCGUAAUUUGGUGAAUCUAAAUAACUUUGCCAAUCGCACAGUCCUAGUACUGGCGAUGUAUCCUUCAAAUGUCUGCCUUAUCAACUUUCGAUGGUAGGUUAUACGCCUACCAUGGUAGUAACGGGUAACGGAGAAUAAGGGUUCGACUCCGGAGAGUUCGCCUGAGAAAUCGCGAACACAUCUAAGGAAGGCAGCAGGCGCGAAAAUUACCCACUCUCAGCACGAGGAGGUAGUGACGAAAAAUAACGAGACCGUUCUCUUAUGAGGCCGGUCAUCGGAAUGGGUACAAUUUAAACCCUUUAACGAGUAUCUAUGAGAGGGCAAGUCUGGUGCCAGCAGCCGCGGUAAUUCCAGCU